GACAGAGGGUGCAAACGUUGCUCGGAAUUACUGGGCGUAAAGCGCGUGUAGGCGGCAUCGUACGUCGGGUGUGAAAGCCCGGGGCUCAACCCCGGAAGGGCACACGAUACGGCGACGCUGGAGGCUUGAAGAGGAGAGCGGAAUUCCCGGUGUAGAGAUGAAAUUCGUAGAUAUCGGGAGGAACACCAGUGGCGAAGGCGGCUCUCUGGACAAGUACUGACGCUGAGACGCGAAAGCGUGGGUAGCAAACAGG
rnacentral:rRNA from 1 species